GCCUACGGGAGGCAGCAGUGAGGAAUAUUGGUCAAUGGUCGGGAGACUGAACCAGCCAAGCCGCGUGAGGGAUGAAGGUACAGAGUAUCGUAAACCUCUUUUGUCAGGGAACAAAGGCGGGGACGUGUCCCCGGAUGAGUGUACCUGAAGAAAAAGCAUCGGCUAACUCCGUGCCAGCAGCCGCGGUAAUACGGAGGAUGCGAGCGUUAUCCGGAUUUAUUGGGUUUAAAGGGUGCGCAGGCGGUCUGUUAAGUCAGCGGUCAAAGCCCGGGGCUCAACCCCGGCCUGCCGUUGAAACUGGUCUU
rnacentral:rRNA from 1 species